rnacentral:tRNA from 1 species
CAGGGAGACAACAAAAUGUUUAAUAUUAUUAUUUUGUCACCUUAGGUCGAUCGGUAUCUCACGUUCUUAAUUUAUUAAGAAUUUCUUUUCCUAAGUUUUUCUAGGUCACACCCAUUAUUUUUCCUGGGCCAUUAGCUCAGGUGGUUAGAGCGCACCCCUGAUAAGGGUGAGGUCCCUGGUUCAAGUCCAGGAUGGCCCAUAUCUCUAUGUUGGGGGUAUAGCUCAGUUGGUAGAGCGCCUGCUUUGCAAGCAGGAUGUCAGCGGUUCGAGUCCGCUUACCUCCACUGAUUACCACCUCUUCCAUAAUCUGUAGAAAGGAAAUGUUUUGAGUCGUGAUCAGAUUCUGAACGAAUCUAGCUUCCUAAUGAAAUCAUUAAGAUGCUGGACUCAUUGAAUUAAUUUCAUUGUUUUCAGAGAACCUUGACAACUGCAUAGAUUAUUUUUAAAGACAAUAAGCAUCUUUUAAUGAUGCAGAUUUAUUAUUUGUGCAAAUGCAUUAAUAACAAUUCUAUUAAGCUGAUGCUUCAAUUAUGAAGUUAUU